rnacentral:lncRNA from 1 species
UACAUCUUUGGACAUUUAUUGAUAAAGGUAACUAUGGCAACAAAAGAAGAGGUCAGGAGAAUCCUAGCCAGCGUGUUCCUGACUGCUUUGUUUAGAUCAGCGUUCGCACUUCAGUCAGGCCUCUGUUAGGGUUAUGAGGCAUCUUCCCCAAGUGACGGCAUAGUUGCUUCAGAUAAUGCUCAGAUGAGUUCUGACGGCGUGGAACAGUGGUCUUAACACUCUCAUCUUCUAAGAUUGUGUAGGAUCAUUUGCCUUGCAAUUCAACCAUACGUUGCCACAUAGCAGAGGCUCAAAAGAACGAUGAAGCUCAAAGAGUUUCAAGAUUCAAAGUCUUCCAGGUCAAUAUUCAAACACAGCUGAGACACAUUUCCUCCUGGAUAUCCUUGUUGCGGGAAGUCAGGGAUCCAAAACAGAGGGACCAGCUGAAGCCAUGGCAGAAGAACAUAGAUUGUGAAGAUUUCAUGGACAUUUAUUAGUUCCCCAAAUUAAUACUUUUAUAAUUUCUUAUGCCUGUCUUUACUGCAGUCUCUAAACACAAAUUGUGAAGAUUUCAUGGACACUUAACACUUCCCCAGUCAAUACCCUUGUGAUUUCCUAUGCCUGUCUUUACUUUAAUCUCUUAAUCCUGUCAGCUGAAGAGGAUGUAUGUUGCCUCAGGACCCUGUGAUAAUUGCGUUAACUGCACAAAUUGUAGAGCAUGUGUGUUCGAACAAUAUGAAAUCUGGGCACCUUGAAAAAAGAACAGCAUAACAGCAAUGUUCAGGGAAUAAGAGAGAUAACUUUAAACUCUGACUGCCGGUGAGCCAGGCAGAACAGAGCCAUAUUUCUCUUCUUUCAAAAGCAAAUGGGAGAAAUGUUGCUGAAUUCUUUUUCUCAGCAAGGAACAUCCCUGAGAAAGAGAAUGUACCCCUGAGGGUAGGUCUCUGAAAUAGCCCCCUUGGGUGUGGCCGUCUUCUAUGGUCGAAACUGUAGGGAUGAAAUAAACCCCAGUCUCCCACAGGUCUCCCAGGCUUAUUAGAAACAGGAAAUUCCCACCUAAUAAAUUUUGGUCAGACUGGUUGCUCUCAAACCCUGUCUCCUGAUAAGAGGUUAUCAGUGACAAUGGUGCCUGAAACUUCAUUAGCAAUUUUAAUUUUGCCCCGGUCCUGUGGUCCUGUGAUCUUGCCCUGCCUCCAUUUGCCUCGUGAUAUUCUAUUACCUUGUGAAGCACGUGAUCUCUGUGACCCACACCCUAUUCGUACACUCCCUCCCCUUUUGAAAGUCCCUAAUAAAAACUUGCUGGUUUUGCGGCUUGUGGGGCAUCAUGGAAACUACCGACAUGUGAUGUCUCCCCCCGGAUGCCCAGCUUUAGAAUUUCUCUCUUUUGUACUCAGUCCCUUUAUUUCUCAAACCAGCCAACGCUUAGGGAAAAUAGAAAAGAACCUAUGUGAAAUAUCGGGUGAAUUUUGCCCGAUAUCUGGCUGAAUUUCCCCUGAUAUAUCCUGGAGCUUAAAUAUUGAAAUAUCAAGUUAAUUACUAUUAAACAUUUUAUAAUAGUAUGGAAAUGGGGUAUGGAAAUUUAAAAUAUCAGUUAAUGUAGACACAAAUAUGUUCAUGUCUCAAUAAUAAAUAUUCAUACCACCAUAGUUCUCAUUUCUACAACAUAUCAUGUUGUCAUUGCACACUUGGAAACGAUAUUGUAAUCUUCCUUACCAGAACAUAUGCUCUGUGAAAGGAGGGACUGUUUCUCAAUUACUUACUCCUCUAUCACUAGUUCUGAGCACAGUGACAAACACAGAGCCGACAUUCAGUUGGUAUUUAAUUAGCAUUCAAUAAAUGCAGACCAGUGUGUGUGUGUAUCUGUGUUUGCAUGAGUGUGUAUGUGCAUGUGCAUGCAUGCACAUGCACAUACCAAGAUGACCCUGGGUGUUUUAAUAAGAACAUCUUCCAAGUUGAAUGCUUCCUGAGGAAAUUUACCUGUAAUACAGGUAUCUUUUCACAUAUUAUUCCCCUUCAUUUGCACUAACAAA